UUGCAUGAGUGGAUAUAGCACUCACCUGAAAACUGAGCCUUCCCAUGCCAAACCGAAUCCCUGAUUUUUGACUAGUCAACUCAAUUGCUACUAACUCUCCCAUCUUCUCGAAUUAAAAGAUGCAUGAAAAGGAAAAAAAAAAACGAUGCGAUGCUUAGAAUCAAUCAAUUAAAUCAUUUCUACUAUCGUGGCCACUAGGUUA
rnacentral:lncRNA from 1 species